rnacentral:misc_RNA from 1 species
AGCACCAGCUCUCCAACCUGCAGGUUUUUUCUACAGUACCCAAUUCUUAGAGUUAGGGUUUCACACAAUUUUUGGUUUUUUUACAUUGGCUUGCGUAUAUGCUUCUCAAUGUGUGGAAAAGAGGGGGAAUUAAUGAUGAUUUAUUGUCCGUGAUUCUCAUUGGUGACUAUAUACAUUAAGAAUUUGUUCGGAAACAUAUGAGACCCGUUUUCGUUUACUUCUGAAUAGUAUAGUUUUAAUGAAUAAUAUGAGAUUUAUUAAGUCGGUUAUAGUGGAGAAAGACUUUUUCCAGGUUUUAAUUUUGUACCAAAGGCAAAAGAAAAUUGGCAGUAAUGAGAGUGAUGUGUGUGAGAUAUAUCUUUUAGUUUUGACAUCAACUUGUUUAACUUUAAACUAUGCUGUAAUGGUCUAUUUUUGUGAUUACACUCAUCCAUGACUUUAAACAUGUUUCUUGGCAUUUGAAACUGAGAAUACAGUGCUCUUUGUAUUGUAAUGGAACUGACUGGUUAUCAUAUCUGACUGGUUAUGCUAUUUUCAAAACCUUCUGCUGUUAAUCAGUUGAUGAGCACCAAAUUACCAUGAUGAUAUGAAGUGCAAGAGUUAUAGAUUGCUUUCCAAAGUCUGGCUAGAAUUGAUAAAUCACUAUCACAGUGAUAAUUCACAGACUAAGCACAUUGAAUUAUUUUGUAACAUAUGUGCAUAACAAUGAUCAACACAUGGCAAUGAUCUUAAAGUCAUCUAUUUGACUGGCUCAUUAGUUUAGCAGUUGAUUUGUUGCCUUCCAAUGCACUCAAGUUAGAGAAAAAUUCAUUACCUGAUUAAUUGCUGCCAAAU